CCUACGGGAGGCAGCAGUGGGGAAUCUUGCGCAAUGGGCGAAAGCCUGACGCAGCAACGCCGCGUGGAGGAAGAAGGCCUUCGGGUUGUAAACUCCUGUCAGGGGGGAAGAAGGCACCUGGGUGAAUAGCCCAAGGGCUGACGGUACCCCCAGAGGAAGCCACGGCUAACUACGUGCCAGCAGCCGCGGUAAUACGUAGGUGGCUAGCGUUGUCCGGAAUCAUUGGGCGUAAAGCGCGCGUAGGCGGCUUGUCAGGUCUGAUGUAAAAUCUCGGGGCUUAACCCAAGCGUGCAUCGGAAACCGGCUUGCUAGAGUCUGGGAGAGGAGAGUGAAAUUCCUGGUGUAGGGGUAAAAUGCGUAGAUAUCAGGAGGAACACCGGUUGCGAGGGCGGCUCUCUGAAACAGUACUGACGCUGAGGCGCGAAAGCUAGGGGAGCGAACAGGAUUAGAUCCCCUGGUAGU
rnacentral:rRNA from 1 species